AUGUGCACGCUUGGUGCGCGCAUUUCAGCAUAAAAUCCUUACUUUUACAAUGGUUGGCCUUUCAUUCUGUUAGUUUUUUAAAGCAGAACUGUGUAAGAUUUGCCUGUUUUUGUAUGAGAACACUGGGUGUUUCGUGACGAACCAUCGUAUGUUUGCGAAAGUGAAAACUUGGUACCUAAUUCAAAUUCCUUUUGUAGGAUAUUCCCUUGCCAAAAUCUGAGCAGUGACUUCUGUUGGAGGACAGCUGAGUGCUCAGAACGGAGCAGUUGCUGUUGAUUUAUUGGACAAAACACAUCUGCAAACAUCAAGCUGCAGGCAAACCAUAGCUAAGAACCCUGUCUGCUGGGCUGCAGGUGACACUGUUACCUACCCAACAUAUCUGAUGGGCAUUCCCCGAUGCUUCACCCUGAGGAUGCGCUUCCAAGAGGGGUUUCUUUUGGAAAGUAAUGAAAAUGGGAGACUUUUUCAUUCUUGAUCUGAUGACUCAAAUGCCUCUCUUGUCACAUUUCAUACAACCAGGUGCAUUCUCUCUACGAAUUUCAUAGAAUGGCCGUUCUAAAAUCCUCUCUCUAUAAUGUCUUGACAAUCUUUUGCACUGCUGUGUGAUAUGACACCGCAACACUUGACUUUCAGCUGGGAUUCAUUCUGGGAGUAUAAUUUGUCUGCAUGUCAAGUGCAAGUCAGUAUUUGUGCCUUUGAGCUUUUUC